rnacentral:rRNA from 1 species
GAUGAACGCUGGCGGCGUGCCUAAUACAUGCAAGUCGAGCGAACAGACGAGGAGCUUGCUCCUCUGACGUUAGCGGCGGACGGGUGAGUAACACGUGGAUAACCUACCUAUAAGACUGGGAUAAUAUCGCGAAACCGGAGCUACUACCGGAUAAUAUAUUGAACCGCAUGGUUCAAUAGUGAAAGACGGUUUUGCUGUCACUUAUAGAUGGAUCCGCGCCGCAUUAGCUAGUUGGUAAGGUAACGGCUUACCAAGGCAACGAUGCGUAGCCGACCUGAGAGGGAGGUCGAGCAGACUGGAACUGAGAAACAGCCCAGACUCCGACGGGAGGCAGCAGUAGGGAAUCUUACGGAAUGGGGGAAAGCUUGACAGAGCAACGCCGGGUGAGGGAUGAAGGUCUUCGGAUCGUAAAACGCUGUUGUUAGGGAGGAACAAAUGUGCUAGUAACUGUGCACGUCUUGACGGUACCUAAUCAGAAAGCCACGGCUAACUACGUG